ensembl:lncRNA
CCUCGCCCCCACUUGUAGCCAAUCAUCUGCCUCCACCACAUUCCUCCAGCCCUUAUAAACCUCACUCACCCAGCCCCUGGUUGCUGUUCUCACCAUUGUUUGAGACAGCCAGGCAGCUCUGUCCCUUAAUAAAGCCCUGCUUUGGGUGUUCGUGUUUUGGCUCAUUUUAUUUCUCUCACUUGGGAUCUUGUGCUUGUGAGGCAGGCACCAGAAUCACUGAGCUAAAUCCCCGGCUCCAAGGUCUUUCCGAGAGCAAAAGCCAUGUUUUAUGGAGAGAUGGAUAUUCUGUCUUGGCUCCAAUGGAGACAUUUUCCACCCUUCCCCACUGUGCUGUCUGCCCUUUACAGGAUGCACCAACAGAGUUUUCUUGCCCCCUGGCUUAGUUGAGCUGGGAGGCCUUGGCUGGAAUGAGAGAAGGGUCGGGUGUUUUCCCCUCGCUUGCUCCUUCACAAGGCGGUUUGGUAAUGGUGCUUGGCUCUGCCUACCAAACACCAUUGGCUCCAUAACCCAGCUCUCUUAUGCAGGUGCAGCUCUUGCUGGGAUGGUAGCAGUUUCCUGCUGGUGCCCAUUCCAGGGACCUGUGCCAUUCUUCACUGGUGCCUGCUAUAACUCUGACUGAAAUUUUACCAGUAGCCUCAUCAAUAACUGAAUCAUCUGCCUCCUGACACCAUCCUGGCUCUGACACCCGUCAUCUGGCCUGGUCCUUCUCCGAGGUAAAUGUCGAUGAGCUCUUCAUAGGCAGACACUGAUUCACAGGACUGGGGGGUGGGCAGAAAUCCUGGAUUUGUAACAAGGUCUCGGGUAACGGAAUAAGCCACAGGUCACACUUUCAGUAGUGGAAGUCUAGUAGAUGGUCUGUAGUUGUCACUUGAUAAGUGUUUUAAGUUGAAGAAAGAAUGAUGACAGGAUUGACUUGAAUGUGAUGUUGCAAUCGACACUGGUGAGGGAAGGCAUGUCCUUAUCACAUGCCUUUAAUACUCACCCCGAGGACCCCGAAGGGGUGCAGCAGAGCUACCUGGUCACACCACGAAGCUCACGAUCAGCUUGACACCUCUGCCUCUGUCUUUCUCACUGCCACAGCCACCCUGGCAGCACUCAUCAUCUCUGUUUAUCACUGUGUAUUAAAAAUAGCAGCAAUGCAACUUCCCAGAAAUUGAAUUUGGAUGCACAAAUAUUUUUUCUUCACAGGUGAAAGUAAAAUGUUUAUUUUCAACAUCAGACUCGAUCCCCCUAUGCUCCAAGGGACAACCCUUGCUAUGUGAAAGAUGGUAGAGGAAUUUGUGGCUUGCCAAACAGUAUGUCUUAUUUCCUCAGAUUCUGCAUGAUCUUGUACAAACAGGUUCUGUGUGCAAAGGCAAAGUUAAGCUCCAAGAGAUCAUUCAAAACAAGACUCACUUCACGGCAAACAACCCCUAACUGUGCUUUUAAGUAGAUCAAACUGUCAGAGGAUGUGAAGUGAUUUAGUGAAACCCUGUCUCAAAAUAAAAAAUAAAAAAGAGCUAGGAAUGUAGCUCAGUUCAAAGAUUGAGUUUAACCCCCAGUACCAAAGAAAGAAAAAAAAACUUAUUAAUUUCAAAUCCAAAUAAUUUAAAUAUUGUGUUAAUUCAGCCAGAUAUUAACUUGUAUUUCACUAUUUUGCUAUCCAUGCAAAAAGGAUUUACAAUGCCAAAUAAUAAGCCAACAAAUUUAUAACAAAAAAAAUCUACAUGAGAGAACAAAAAUUUUUAGCAACUCUAAAGUGUUUUAGAAAGGUACAUUUAGGUUUCAACAGAGAAUCUAAUUGAUUUAUAAUGUUGGCUAUUGUGCUAUUUAAAAAAUAUACAUUCUUGGGCGGGGGAUGUAGCUCAGUGGUUUCGCCACCUGCUGUGCAAGUGCAAGGACCUGAGUUCGAUCCCCGGUACCAAAAGAAAAAAAAUUCUUCUGAACUCAAUGUGAUAUCCUAGAUUGCAUUCUGGAACAAGAAACUGGAAUCAGAAUACAGUGUUGAGUUUAGUUAAUAACAAUGUGCAAAAGUUGGCUUUUUAGUUUGGCAGAUGUGCUAUGGUAAUGUUAAGAUGUCAACAUUAAAAAAAUCUAGGUAAUGGGUAUAUGAGAACUUUCAGAGUUAUCGUUGCAAUUUUUCUGUAGAUGUAAAAUCAUUCCAAGGUGUAAAAGUUUACUAUUAAAAAAUUCUUGCACAUUGAUGAAGGCCAAUUCCCCAAGAACUCUUGAAACAGUGAUGGAUGCUCUUUAUUGAACAACACUGGUUGGCACGAUGCCUUAGACAUGUGGCAUGUUCAUGACAAUGUUAUGAAGUAGGUAUGGUUAUUAUCUUCAUUUCACAGAUAAGGAAACUGGUUCAGAGUGAUUAAGUAAUUUGUCCACAGAUACACAGGUAAUUAUUGAUAGAAUCAGCGUAUGACAAGAUUUGUAUAGUCCUAAAGCCUGGGCUCUGCAAUUCUACAGUUACACUAUGCUGCUUCUCUUAGUUUGAGUUUAUCUCUAUAUAAAGGAAUUAUGACUUAUUCAAAUUGGCACUCAUCUUUUGGCUGAAUUAGUGAAACACAUGAAUCUGGUUAUUGAUACUAUAUCUUUAAGCAAACCAGAGCAUUAUUAUGAAAAGCAAUUGUGCUUAACAAAAGGUCAAACCUUCCAUCUUUCUGCUUUGUAAAACUGGGCUUUACUUUUCCAAAAGGCGGCAGGAGGCCUUGGGGAGGUCUCCUUUCCAUGGAGCUUGAUGCAUUUGGAGCUAAGCCACUGGCCCUUGGCUCACUUUGGGAUGCUGGAUGACGCCCAGGAUUUGCCUAGCUCUCUUCAGUGUUGUCAGAGGUGUAUGGAUGCGUGGGAAAAGACACAGUUUAUAAAGGGCUCAGUUCCACCGAUCAUUUCAGGCCUAUCCUCCGGAUCUACUCUAUAUGAGGAAGAAAAGGAACUUAAACUAGCACUCUACGCUCUGUACUCCCUCCCCAGUGCUGAGAAAAUGCAGAUAAAAGACCAAAACUAAUCUUCUUUUGGUUGCCAAACAAUAUUUUCGUGACUAAGAACCCCUGCCUGUGCUGAGAGCGGACCACGUAAUGCCCAGCUUCAACAAAGAUGUGUGCAGUCAGCAGCAACCUCUGUCUCUCCUCCCCAGCUGCUGCUGCCCCCAUUCCUGCCCACCACACUGCCCUGAGCUCUGGAGCUGAUUCCCAUUGAUCUUCCAACUGCCAAAGUCAGUGAACACUUCCAGCCCUUCUCUUAUGUAACCUCUCUACAGCAUCUGUCUGUUGCCAAUUCUAGGUUCUUAGAGCUAGAAAAUAACAGUACAAGGAUUUAAGUGUGGACCUAUUCGAUUCUGAAGCUCUUUUGUUAUUGUUAUUUAAUGAGUAUUACGUAUUACAUAAGAUAAUUAUCUUAUUAGUAUGUAAUUAAUAAAUUAUUAUUUAUAAGUAUUAUGUCAGCGGUUUCAGCCUUCUGAUAUAAAAAUCCCAAACUUUUUAGAGGCACUGAUAUGAGGCUGUCAAAUGUGUGUGUGUGUGUGUGUGUGUGUGUGUGUACGUGUGCCUGUGUAGUUGUUAGGCCAUUUUAAAAAAUGCCCAACUACAAUAUAUCAUCAUUAUCAUUCAUUUUUGUUUUAAAAUUCCCCAAUGUACUGAUAUGAAAGUACCUCCUUACUGUGUUGUUAA